GGACGAUGCUCCUUCGGAGAUUUGCGGGGCACCCCCCCCACCCCACCCCAAAAGAAAGUAAUUACUUGGAAGUAAAAUUCCUACUGAUUUAAAUGGAAUUUCCUGCCAACUAACGGUACUUGGAUACUUGGAAUUGCUUCCUUGGCUUAAUGACCUGUCACCACUAUCUAGUCAAACCAUAUUCAUUGUCUUCCCUAAAUCGCUCCCCUCAUUGUUCCUCUCCCAUACAGAAGAAAGUUUUCUCCCAAUGUGAGGCACCAUCCAACACGCGCUCACUAAUCGGGCGUGUGCAAAAUGCACUCGUCAGGAUCUGGGACUCUUGCUCGUCAGAGCAUGUAGGUUAGUAGAGUCUGCAUGCAAUCCGAAGGAGAUACGGAACGGGGAUACUAAGUCCACUUCUGUUUUCUUCUUUUAACCACUCCCUCGGAUGGCAGUUUAGCAGGGGCAAGAAAAUCUGCAGAGGGCUGCAGCAGAGCCGACUCCCCCUCCCCCAGCAGGCAUGGGCUGGCAAAUAAAUAUGAAUGCACCUGCAGAGCAGCAGCUGAAUUGGUGCAGCUCUCUCUGUCUCUCCCUCCCCGCCGCCCGUUUCCAUUCGCCUGCAAGGAACUGCAGCGCCGCUUAUAUAGGGAAUAAUAAUAUUAGUAAGACAUGCAUUUUGUAUGCCGUUGGAGCUCUGCAAGGGGCACUGCAGCUAGAUCGGAUUCUGUCAUCUCAGCAGCCAAUACUGACCGCCAGCCUGAUCCAAACUUGGUGUCGUCAGACCGAAUUCCCCCCACCCACAGGCCCCCUUGAAUUGAGGUCAUCGACUUCUAACCUCAGACAGACAACCGUCCCUCCGCCAAACGCGCCCUAUUUGUCAUCACGUGCUCGCUAAUGGUCUGCUCCGCUCUCCAGGGGGGCUUCACAGUGGAUUCAGUGCAAUUGUGGAUUUCCAAGUGACGGGAAAGGAAGACCACUGAAUCACCCGCGGCGCUUUACAGGGGGAAUUGUCCUUUUCAUACUGUUAUAAUUCCACUGAACUCACUGUACUGAUGAAUCACAUCGCUGGAAUCAAGAGAAGAUGUCUGAUUAUGUCACUUUAGUCACUUCAUGGAACUCUGUGCACUGAGGCUACACUUUCAACAAGCUGUCCACCACGACCCCAAGAUCCCUCUCCUGGUCAGUCCCUGACAGCUCAGACCCCACAGUGUAUAUGUGAAGGGGGGGGGUUGCCCCAAUAUGCAUCACUUUACACUUGCUUGCACUGAACUGCAUUUGCCAUUUUGUCACCCACUCAGCUAGUUUGGAGAGAUCCUUUUGGAGCUCCUCACAAUCUGUUGUGGAUUUCACUGCCCUAAAUAGUUUAGUGUCAUCUGCAAAUUUGGCCACUUGGCUGCUUAUCCCAACUUCUAGAUCAUUUAUGAAUAAGUUAAAGAGCAUUGGUCCCAGUACAGCUCCCUGGGGGACCCCACUUCUUACUUCCAUCCAUUGUGAAAACUGUUCAUUUAUUCCUAGCCUCUGCUUCUUGUCCUUCAACCAGUUUCCGAUCCACACAUGAACCUGUCCCCUUAUCCCAUGACUGCUAAGUUUACUCAAGAAACUGAAAAUGCUGAGAAACUUUGUCAAAAGCUUUUUGGAAGUCCAAGUAUACUAUGUCAACCGAAUCACCUUUAUCCACAUGUCUGUUGACACUCUCAAAGAACUCCAAAAAGUUAGUGAGGCAAGACUUGCCCUUGCAGAAGCCAUGCUGAUUCUCCUUCAGCAAGGCCUCUUCUAUAUAUUUAACUAUUUUGUCCUUAAGUAUGCUUUCCAUCAAUUUAAGCUAACCGACCAGUAGUUUGUAAGAUCUCCCAUGGAUUUCCCUUGGAUCCUAGGACCCUCUGGGCUCCGUUUCAAUCCCUGGCAUCUCUGGAUAGGACUGGGAAAGAUUCCUGCCUGACACCUUGGAAGAGCAUCUGUUUUGCAGGCAGAAGCUCUCAGGCUCAAUCCCUGGCAUCUCAAAGUAGGGUUGUAAAAGAUUCCUUUUGUCAGUCAGUGUAGACAAUACUGAGCUAAAUGGACCAACGGUCUGACUCAUAAGGUAGCUUCCUAUGUUCCUUCUUAUGUUUUUAAAUUGGUUGUUACAGGUCACCACAGGGUGUUACAGGUGGCUAGGAAUAGUUUUAAACAAAUGGUUAAAAUAUGCUGGGAAUUUUAAAAAAGAAAACAGAGAGGGCUCAGUGGGAGGAGAUUUUGCAGUAAUAGUGGAUAGACUCACCAGCCAUACUUCCUCUCAAGGCCAGUCCCUACCCCAUCUAAUAUUAACUUGUACACCUUUCAUGAAAUGUGAUCUCUAUUUUGGAGUCAACCAAAACAGAACUGGAAUUAAAACCCAGAUUCUGCUAUUAAAAAAGAAGUUCUGGUAAGAACGAAUCUGCCUACUUUCCUUUCACUAUAACUUAAUUGAUAAUUACCAUAUUCACAAGUUACCCCACUUCUGCUUCAAACCUUUCCACAUCCGCUAUCUUGAAUGUGGGUGGCUGACAUCAGCACAAACUGUGCCAUUGAGGUAUCUCUAUGUGUCCCUACAAUUGUACCAAAUUUGGCUCAGAUCAGUUAGGCGGUUCACAAGUUAGCCCAUGUGCGCCUCAAAUGUUCAUGCAUCCACCAUGCUGAACUGGGGUGGAUGACAUUGUUGCCAGAAGCUGCAUUUGGGGAGUCAUGCAGAAAGGUACCCCUCUCCAUGAUUUAACUCACAGGCUAACAUCCUCAGUGAACUUUUCACCUCACAUAGCCCAAGCAGCUUGGCAUGAGCAGGUCGUUAGCGCAGGCAGAAUUUGGCAGCAUGCCUCCAGGUUAAAGUGUUAACAAACCACAAAAGGACAUGGCCAGCUCCUCCUCUAUAAAGACCCAUCUAAAGACCCAUCAAUAUCAAUAGACCCAUCUAAAGUAGAUUGUUCUGGGAGAAGAUGCUCCCGCCCAGAGAUAGCAAUUGGAAUGCUCAACAGGACAAGCAGGGAUACAGCCAUUUCCUACCUUGUUAAGUUUGAUGAAGUAGCUGACAAAGAUAAGGGUUGAGGCACUCAUAGGUAAACAACAGGUCUGCAUUUUGCAUCUAAGAUGCCUUAGCUUCAAGAUAAUAAGCAAACAGAACCAUGUCCUCAUACACAUAAACAUUUACAUAGCUUGCACUUACCUUUGUCCAAAAGGGCCGACCCACACUGACACAGUCCAUCUAGCAAUGAACACUUUUGUUUUGCAAGAAUCUUCCUGCCCUACAGGGAAGGAUAACCCACCUGAAUGAAUCACAAACUGCCUCCGGGCAUAUUUUCAAGUAUAACUGUCCCAAGAGAGCCCCAUGGUCUCAAACACUUUGGAUCCUACCAUCCUACGGACUCUCACAGGAGAACUGUGACUGCUGCCCCUUAUCCCCACUGCAUCCCACUCUCCUGAGGUGGCACCAUGCCCAAACUUCGCGCAAACAACACACUAGGAAGGAUAGGUAAGCAUUUGUACCUCAAGCAUUGUACCUCAAGGGGCUCACUCUCUUUUUGUAACUCUCUAUUUUUACCCUAAAUAAAGCUUUGAAACUUUGA